UGAACUAGGCAAAAUGGCACCGUAACUUCGGGAGAAGGUGCACUGCUGGUGGUGAAGGGUUUACCCCGUAAGCUACUGGCAGUCGAAGAUACCAGGCCGCUGCGACUGUUUAUUAAAAACACAGCACUCUGCAAACACGAAAGUGGACGUAUAGGGUGUGACGCCUGCCCGGUGCCGGAAGGUUAAUUGAUGGGGUCAGCCGCAAGGCGAAGCUCUUGAUCGAAGCCCCGGUAAACGGCGGCCGUAACAAUAACGGUCCUAAGGUAGCGAAAUUCCUUGUCGGGUAAGUUCCGACCUGCACGAAUGGCGUAACGAUGGCGGCGCUGUCUCCACCAGAGACUCAGUGAAAUCGAAAUCGCGGUGAAGAUGCCGUGUACCCGUGGCUAGACGGAAAGACCCCGUGAACCUUUACUGUAGCUUCACACUGGACUUUGACAUGAUCUGUGUAGGAUAGCUGGGAGGCUUUGAAGUGCGGACGCCAGUUCGCAUGGAGCCAACCUUGAAAUACCAGCCUGGUCCUGUCGGGGUUCUAACGUCGACCUGUUAUCCAGGUUACGGACAGUGUGUGGUGGGCAGUUUGACUGGGGCGGUCUCCUCCCAAAGAGUAACGGAGGAGCACGAAGGUGCGCUAAUCACGGUCGGAAAUCGUGAGGUUAGUGUAAAGGCACAAGCGCGCUUGACUGCGAGACAAACAAGUCGAGCAGGUACGAAAGUAGGUCUUAGUGAUCCGGUGGUUCUGUAUGGAAGGGCCAUCGCUCAACGGAUAAAAGGUACUCCGGGGAUAACAGGCUGAUACCGCCCAAGAGUUCAUAUCGACGGCGGUGUUUGGCACCUCGAUGUCGGCUCAUCACAUCCUGGGGCUGAAGCCGGUCCCAAGGGUAUGGCUGUUCGCCAUUUAAAGUGGUACGCGAGCUGGGUUUAGAACGUCGUGAGACAGUUCGGUCCCUAUCUGCCAUGGGCGUUGGAGAUUUGAGAAGAGUUGCUCCUAGUACGAGAGGACCGGAGUGAACGAACCUCUGGUGUACCGGUUGUUUCGCCAGAAGCAUCGCCGGGUAGCUAAGUUCGGACGGGAUAACCGCUGAAAGCAUCUAAGCGGGAAGCCUCCUUCAAGAUGAGAUCUCCCUGGGGCCUUGAGCCCCCUAAAGGGCCGUCGAAGACUACGACGUUGAUAGGCGGGGUGUGGAAGCGCUGUGAGGCGUUGAGCUGACCCGUACUAAUUGCCCGUGAGGCUUGACCG
rnacentral:rRNA from 1 species